rnacentral:rRNA from 1 species
AGGACUAACGCUGGCGGCGUGCCUAACACAUGCAAGUCGAGCGGGGUAGCAAUACCCAGCGGCAGACGGGUGAGUAACGCGUGGUCAACCUUCCGUUGAAUGGGGGAUAACUAGCCGAAAGGUUAGCUAAUACCGCAUACGAUCUUUUGAAGGCAUCUUUAAAAGAUGAAAGGAGCAAUUCGUUCAACGACGGGACCGCGUCCCAUUAGCUAGAUGGUGGGGUAAUGGCCUACCAUGGCAACGAUGGGUAGCUGGUUUGAGAGAGCGACCAGCCACACUGGGACUGAGAAACGGCCCAGACUCCUACGGGAGGCAGCAGUGAGGAAUUUUCCGCAAUGGGCGAAAGCCUGACGGAGCGACGCCGCGUGUGGGAAGAAGGGCCUUCGGGUCGUAAACCACUGUCGAAGGGGAGAUAUUGACGGUACCCUUGGAGGAAGCCCCGGCUAACUACGCGCCAGCAGCCGC